UCGUGAUGAGCUGUUAUCGAGUGGAUGAGAAAUUGAUAGCCUCAAGUGUACAUCAUGUAUUGAUUUUUGGUUUUUAUCUGAAAUUCCAUUUUAAUAAGGGAAGUCAUUUGAAAGAGUAUUGGCAGUUUUGUUUCAAAAGAAAAUAAGAACUAAAAGAUUGAAAAUAGGAUCUGAUGUUCUCAAAGACGUCUUUAGAGUUCGUGUUUGAUGAAGUUGAAAGAAGAUUUGCGAGUUUGCUUCCACGAAGAGGUAAAAAAGUAUUAUACCAAUACUCGCGCGGUUCACAAGUCGAGGAACCACCACUACAGAAU